AACGAACGCUGGCGGCAUGCCUAACACAUGCAAGUCGAACGAGACCUUCGGGUCUAGUGGCGCACGGGUGCGUAACGCGUGGGAACCUGCCCUUAGGUUCGGAAUAACUCCCCGAAAGGGGUGCUAAUACCGGAUAAUGUCUUCGGACCAAAGAUUUAUCGCCUUUGGAUGGGCCCGCGUUGGAUUAGCUAGUUGGUAGGGUAAAAGCCUACCACGGCGACGAUCCAUAGCUGGUCUGAGAGGAUGAGCAGCCACACUGGGACUGAGACACGGCCCAGACUCCUACGGGAGGCAGCAGUGGGGAAUAUUGGACAAUGGGCGAAAGCCUGAUCCAGCAAUGCCGCGUGAGUGAUGAAGGCCUUAGGGUUGUAAAGCUCUUUUACCCGGGAUGAUAAUGACAGUACCGGGAGAAUAAGCGCCGGCUAACUCCGUG
rnacentral:rRNA from 1 species